AUUGAACGCUGGCGGCAUGCUUUACACAUGCAAGUCGAACGGUAACAGGCCGCAAGGUGCUGACGAGUGGCGAACGGGUGAGUAAUGCAUCGGAACGUGCCCAGUCGUGGGGGAUAACUACUCGAAAGAGUAGCUAAUACCGCAUACGAUCUAUGGAUGAAAGCGGGGGACCGUAAGGCCUCGCGCGAUUUGAGCGGCCGAUGUCAGAUUAGGUAGUUGGUGGGGUAAAGGCUCACCAAGCCAACGAUCUGUAGCUGGUCUGAGAGGACGACCAGCCACACUGGGACUGGGACACGGCCCAGACUCCUACGGGAGGCAGCAGUGGGGAAUUUUGGACAAUGGGCGCAAGCCUGAUCCAGCAAUGCCGCGUGCAGGAAGAAGGCCUUCGGGUUGUAAACUGCUUUUGUACGGAACGAAACGGCUCUGGUUAAUACCCGGGGCUAAUGACGGUACCGUAAGAAUAAGCACCGGCUAACUACGUG
rnacentral:rRNA from 1 species